rnacentral:rRNA from 1 species
UUGGGGGGAUUUACCCCUUAGUGGCGAAGCUAACGCGUUAAGUUAUCCGCCUGGGGAGUACGGCCGCAAGGUUAAAACUCAAAGGAAUUGACGGGGACCCGCACAAGCGGUGGAGCAUGUGGUUUAAUUCGAUGCAACGCGAAGAACCUUACCUGGUCUUGACAUCCUGAGAACUUUCUAGAAAUGGAUUGGUGCCUUCGGGAACUCAGUGACAGGUGCUGCAUGGCUGUCGUCAGCUCGUGUCGUGAGAUGUUGGGUUAAGUCCCGUAACGAGCGCAACCCCUAUCCUUAUUUGCCAGCACAUCAUGGUGGGAACUAUAAGGAGACUGCCGGUGAUAAACCGGAGGAAGGCGGGGACGACGUCAAGUCAUCAUGGCCCUUACGACCAGGGCUACACACGUGCUACAAUGGGAAGGACAAAGAGCCGCGAAGCCGCGAGGUGUAGCUAAUCUCAGAAACCUUUUCGUAGUCCGGAUUGGAGUCUGCAACUCGACUCCAUGAAGUCGGAAUCGCUAGUAAUCGUAGAUCAGAAUGCUACGGUGAAUACGUUCCCGGGUCUUGUACACACCGCCCGUCAUACCAUGGGAGUGGGUUGCACCAGAAGUGGCUAGUCUAACUUUAUUGAGGACGGUCACCACGGUGUGAUUCAUGACUGGGGUA